rfam:Ipomoea nil DNA, scaffold: scaffold1993, cultivar: Tokyo-kokei standard.
GCCUCCAUAGCACAGUGGCAGUGCGUUCGCUUCGUAAGCGAAAGGUCGUGAGUUUAAUCCUCGCUAGAGGCU